rnacentral:lncRNA from 1 species
GUUGGGGUGUGUGUUUGCUGUUGAACUGGGUAUUUCCAGGAGACACAGCCAAUAAUUUCCUUGGUGUGCUCUGUGCAGGUCCUGGUUGGCUGGGAGGACCAUGGAAAAGCUGGAGUAACAACCGUGUAGAAGGCAAUGAAAAAGACCUGGAUUGCAGCAGUAACCCUCAGAGUGAUCCCGUGAGGAGCUUUCAGCACCCACCAGGAGUGGAAGAGGAGGGGACAGGAUCACCUUGGCCUCCAUCCCCUGUGCCCAGACCAAGGAGGAGCUCGCCUUUGUUUGCUGGACACGUCUCGGUUCGACCUCUAAAAUUCUGAUUUUUGUCCUUUUUUGGAGAUGUUCAAACCUGCUGGGGAAAAUCCCUGACCUAGCUCGACCUGCUCUCAUCUCCAGGAGAUAUUCCCACCUAUGUUUUUUUUGAUUUCUCCUAUUUUCCCCAUCAUCCUCCAGAAAAAAAAAAAGCAUUAAGAAAGACUUGCCAUCCAUGGCUCCACGUUCAAUGCACUUUCCUAGUGCAGACCUUCAUCCUUUGCUUAAUAUUUCACUUUCUUAUUUUAUAAUUUCUCUCAAAAUAUUUCAUUUUUGCUUCCCCAGGUUGUGAUCCCCACCCAGUUUUCAGGGCAGUGGGAGGACACUUCCAGGGCAGUGGCUCCCUGAGCACCCCCUAACAGUAAGGCUGCUUUGCUUUAUAUUAUUUAAGCAAUUAUAUGUAUUAAUUGUGCAAUUAUGCAUAUCAAUUGAGGAGGAUGUGGUGAAUCAUGACCUUGGUGUGGUUUGUUUGGAGGAAUUUCUGCUGUUUUCUGUUGAUAUAAUUUAAAUUGUAUCAACCCUUCCCUAAAUGCUGUGAGCAUUUCAGAGCAGAAACACUUAUUUUUUAAAAAUAAAUCAGUCUGUGCAGGGAGUCUUGUUUUAAAG